UAAAUAAUAUAUCCCUAAUUUAUCGCGUCCUUCUUCGCCCAAACCCUAUCUCUGUUUGCGCCGUUCACCAUUCUUCCCUCGCCGGAUCUCCUUCACCUUUCUUCGCUCGCCGUCGAUCUUCUUCACCUUUCUUCGCUCGCCGUCGAUCUCCUUCACCUUUCUUCGCUCGCCGUCGCUCGUUCUUCACCUUUCUUUGCUUGCCGUCGAUCUCCUUUACGCCGUCGAUCUAGUUCUCUUCCGUGUCCGUGAGAGAAGUAAGAAUACAUAUAUUGAUGCUUCUUAAUUUUUUGGGUUCUUUAUCCCCAAAUUUCCGAGUUUUACUCUUUAUCCCUCCCAAACGUUUGUAGGUUUUUAUGUACUUUUUUGCUGACUGAUUAUGGCAUAUGAUUCCUGUUGCAAGUUCAUCUGACUUCUUUUUCCCCUUCCACCCCUUUCUCAAAAUGUAUAAUUUUCUAUAUUCAGUCUCUUCUUGUCAGCCAUCUUUCGUUUGUACUUCAACUUUCCUGAAAUUUUAUCAUUUUAAAUCUUCUCUUUAAGAAAAUUAGCUUGUCAAUUUAAGGAACAUCAUACAAGUCGUGGUAUUCAAUUUGAAACUACCUGUUUUAGUUCUAAAAUAUUUAGCCAUUCAACCUCAGACUUCAUUAGACGGUGCAUUGUUACGCAAACAACAGUGUCAUGAAUCACGAUGAAUGAAAGAAAGGCUGAACAAAUGUUCUAAAAAUAGUCGAACCAAGAACACCAUGUGUUAUCCAUGUUUAUGUUGCUUUCUUCAAGGCAUUAUAAUUUCAACAUAAGUUGAAAUUUACACCCCAAACAACGAGAAUUUGAUGCUAAGUUUAGAACUGAGUGCAAUUUCUUUUAAUAUUUUUUAAUGGGUUUUCUUUUUCUUUUGUGCUAAUCAAUGAUGCUUGCUUCCAUGUUAUUAUGAGGAACGUAUACUCCGGGGCUACUAGGAAUAAUUGUCCAUGGAUAAGUGAUCUUUGGGUUUGGUAUUUGCUUGUUCUGAAACGUGCACGUGCUUUUAAAGGUGAAAUUGUUUCUGUUCAAGUUUGAUGUGUAAGGCUUUUGAUUCUUGGGGAUUUGGAAGGAAGAUAUGAAGAUUGCAUUGGACAUAUUUUAAGAAGGUUGAAAAGUGGAGAAGGUGCACCCAACACAAAAAGGAUUUCAUAACAACAUUAAUAACAAGUACAAGUUUAUUCAUGUGUUCUCCGGUCGUUUUCGGUUGGUUUCCGUCAGCAUGUGGGCUUUCUUGGAGUGUUCUUUGUUCUCUCCAUACAUUUUUCAUUACUCUCUCAGAUCAGAGGUUUGAAAGUUUUUCUCCUCGUACGUUCAUUCUAGAUCUAUUCAUGUUUUACUUGCUUUUUUUCUCUGUUAGAUUAUGGGAAGAUUUUGUCACAAUUUGAUGUUAGUAGUGAUGCAGUUACCCCAUGAUGCCAAUCACAAAGAAGAGGCUCUUCCUCAACAUUUGUGCCUUGCAAAAUAAAAGAGAACAUGAAAUCCUCAUAUGAGGUCAGAGAAAGAAUGGAAUUCCUAUUUAUACUUAUCUCUGCUAGGGUUGUCAAUACUGUUUAUAAAUAUUUAUAAAUACCCGAUUGGAAAGCUGAGGGUACAACCAGUAGGCAUUAUUGUAUUUGCUGCUGUCAUGGCUACACUAGGUAUGUCUUGUUUUGUAAACCAGUUUGAAAGUGCAUUGAUUUUCUCAUUCAGUCAUUUGAACCAUGAUCGAGGAGUACGAAAGUCUAGUAAUUCUAUUGCCUAUCUACCUCAUAUUCCUGCUAGAAAUGAAGGCCCCUUUCUCAAUUAUAACAAGUGAAAAUAUUGACAUCCACUAUUGAUGGUUAUUACAUCGAUGUCUUGUAAUUAGCAAAGACCAUGUCUUUCAAUUUUCUAUUCAUAUUUGUAUUCUAGGAUCUUUAAUUGUUGGAUCAACUUGGUUACGUCAAAAUUUCAUAUUACUUUUAUUGGUAGCAAAGCAUGAUUAUAUAUGAUUUGGGUUUCUUUAACAAUGCGGAGUGGCUAAAUCGUUUGGAUUUCUUGUUUAGGCUUUCAGGUAUUGCUUCAACCAGUAGAAAAACUAAUUCAAGAUAAACCUUGAAAGUCUAUCGUCAGAACAAUUCAUCUGGUUUUGUGCAAUUAUGACCUUUGCCACAGUAGUAAAACUUGCCCUCUGCUUAUACUACAAAACCUCAAGAAAUGAUCUUUUGGAUUCAUUGCUGAGUGAAAACAGGUUUUAAAUGAUUAAUCCGUUGUAUACUAAUAUGAAGAAAGAUGGGUUAAUUCCUAAUGUCUUUACAUAUAAUAUACUUUUGAAGGCGCUGUGCAAGAAUGAUCGUGUUGAUGCUGCACACAAGCUAUUUGUCGAAAUGUCAAGUAAGGGCUGCCUACCUGUCGUGGUUAGCUAUACGACUAUGGUGUCUUCACUGUGUAAAGCAGAUAAGAUUGAUGAUGCUAGAGAGCUAGCGGGAAGAUUUAAUGCAAAUGUCUAGAUAGAAUCCUUCAGCAUAAUGCAAAUGUUUAGAACUAUAUGAAACGCUAUCGUGCCUAAUGGAGAUGACAUUUAGUUUAAUUAGGGCAUUUAGUCUUUAAUUAAUAGUUGGAUCUCGUCUACUAAUUUAUUGUUGGAUGUUUAGAUUUUGUUAUUGCUCCAUAGAACUACAUGUUGGAUUUGUGAUAUGUUUCCAUUUGUUAGGUAUUUUAUUCAUUGUUAACUUUUCUUCAAGUAUUUAUAGAAAGAGUCUAACUUUAAGGAAGAGUUCUCCUUUCUUUUGCUAACUACUUGUGUUUGUUGGCUUUUGAAAUCACUUCUUUCUGUAGAUUUUGUGGUUUAUUGAGACAUUUGUUUAGAUCGAUGGAACUUAGAACUUUGCUGAGUUUUUGUGUUUUGGCUUUUCUUUUCAUUGAUAGGAACCGAGUCCAUGAAUCUAGAGGUAAAAGAUUGAAUGCCCAUGUGACAACUUUUGAUAAUUGAAGUGAAGUGAAUAAUCAGAUUUGAGUUUUUGUAAAACAUUGUUAUUUAUGUUUGAAUGUCUGAAGAAACCUACAAGGAGAGUUUUUGUAAAUCAUUGUUAUACUUUUUGUGACAAAUUUUGAGAUUUGAAGUACAUUGUGAGCUAAAUUUGCUUAUUGAUAUAUGUGUUCUUGAAUAUUCAUUUUUUUGAGAAUUCUGAUAGUUUUAUUUAGAACAAGUGGUUGUGGAAAAUUAUUGGGAGUGUGUUUCUUUGAACAGGUUCAAGGUAAAUUUUUAGUUUUAUUGUGGUAGCAUCGUUAUGCUACCGAAAAUUUUCCAUCGUCUUCGUAGCUCAUAUCUAGGUAACCAAGCUUCUCUUCUUCAAGAUCUUGAAAAAGAAGAUUCUCUCAUCCAUUGAUAUCAACUCUUGAGAUCUAUCUGUUUUUCUUGGGAAAAUAUGUUUAAAUUGGCUAUUUCCUAUUUUUUUCCUUCUUGUGUAUGAGCUAAGAAAGAAAUAUUACUAAAAUAAUGUCAUCUUUUGUUGUUUCUUCUUCAAUAUUUAAGACAUCUUUGGAAGAGACAUGGAAGGCAUUGUCGUCGUUCGCAUGUCUCCGCCACACGUGCUGCCAGAUUCAUUCUACCCUUUACUUUUAAUGAUGUUGUUUGUGUGUUUUUAGGUGUUUGGAAGAGGCGGGGAGGAGAAGGAUUUAUUGUAACAACAAGGGAUUCACGUAAAAAUUGUUCUUGAAUGUAUAGAUAGGAAUUUAGCUGCAGAAGCGGAAAUUAUCCAUGGACAUAUCGUUAAGUUCACGUAUAUAGGAAGGAUUUGGACCAUAUAGGAAGGAUUAUGCAUGUUGGAGUGAGAAUGUUGUGGGGAUACCAGUUACAAUGAUUAUGGCGCAUAU